rnacentral:rRNA from 1 species
UACGGAGGGUGCGAGCGUUGUCCGGAAUCAUUGGGCGUAAAGGGCGCGUAGGUGGCCCGGUCAGUUCGUGGUGAAAGCGCGGGCUCAACCCUGCGUCGGCCAUGAAUACUGCCGCGGCUGGAGCACUGUAGAGGCAGGCGGAAUUCCGGGUGUAGCGGUGGAAUGCGUAGAGAUCCGGAAGAACACCGGUGGCGAAGGCGGCCUGCUGGGCAGUUGCUGACACUGAGGCGCGACAGCGUGGGGAG